GCUGUCUGGCUUGGAGGUUGCAAUCCCAGGGAAUUUUUCAUCAGCGGGGAAGUCUCCAUCACUACAGAGGGAUCAAGGGAGAAGUCAGUCCCUGGGAUACUUUUAACAACAGAAGUGCCAAACUACAAAGAAGUGGAACCCACGAACAUCGUUGAAGAAAUUAAAGAUGACCUAAAUAAAUGGAAAAACACCCCAGUUCAUGGAUUAGAAGAUUUAAUAUCGUUAUGACAGCAGUACUCCCUAAAUUUUUCUACAGUUUCAAUGCAAUCCCUACCCAAGAUUCAAGUUGUCUUUUUUUUUUUCUUUUUGGCAGAAAUUAUUGACAAGCUGAUCUGAAUAUUCCUAUGACCUAAGAAUAGAUAAAACAAUCUUGAAAAAGAAAAAACAAAGUUGGAGGAGUCACACUAAUUAGACAGUGUGGUAGUGGCAUAAAGAGUGACAUAUAGAUCAAUAAAAUAGGGUUUAUAGUCUAGAAUAAACCCUUACAUUUAUAA